CCCUCCUCCCGACAGCGCUUACAACUUGGGGCCGAAAAGUUUCGGAGAACUUCUGCGUACCUGGGGAUUUCACAGACCUAACAAAGACAGAGCGAAGCCAGAAUUAAAACUGGGGAACCAUAACAAAGCUACAUAUUUUCAAUGGUGGCAGGUUUGGGGGUGUAGUUAGCUUCGUAACUUAUAUUUGCAGCGGUUUCGUAUCGUCCACUCCGUCCUGUUCUUAUCCAGCUGGAUAGUUAGAGGGACAGAAAGGACUGGUGAAAUGGCGGAAACAAAAAUAAUAUACCACAUAGACGAGGAGGAGACGCCGUAUUUGGUGAAGAUACCAAUACAAUCAGAACAGAUAACGCUACAGGAUUUUAAACAGGUUUUGAACAAGCCAAACUACAAGUUCUUCUUUAAAUCUAUGGAUCAGGAUUUCGGGGUGGUGAAGGAGGAGAUUUCUGAUGAUGCUGCAAAACUACCAUGCUUCAACGGGAGAGUUGUGUCAUGGCUGGUGUCCUCAGACAGCCCGCUGGGGGAGCCCCCUCCGGCACCGGUGGAAGUCCGGCCUUCCCCCUCCCCCCCGCCUCCCCCCCUGCCUCCCCCUCUGCCUCCUGCCCCAGCAGAGAGGACAGGGGGCAUCGGAGACUCCAGACCGCCCUCAUUCCACCCUAACGUGGCCGGCAGUGUGGAGCAGCUGGACGAGCGUACGGACACAGAGUCCGUUCUGUCCUUCAGGAGGGAGAGGCCCAGGCGCAGGGAGAGCACAGAGCAGCAUGGCCCCCGGAUGAACGGCCAGAGUCGUCUGGAGCGCCACCUGGCUGGGUACGAGAGCUCGUCCACCGUCAUGAGCAGCGAGCUGGACACAACCAGCUUCUGUGACUCUGACGACGAUACCAUGAGCAGGUUCAGCAGCACCACGGAGCAGAGCGCGGCCUCUCGGCUGAUGAAGAGGCACCGCAGGAGGAGGAAGCAGAGGCCCACCAGGCUGGAGAGGGCCUCGUCCUUCAGCAGUGUGACAGACUCCACUAUGUCACUCAACAUCAUCACAGUCACUCUCAACAUGGAGAAGUACAACUUCCUGGGCAUCAGCAUCGUGGGGCAGAGCAACGAGAGAGGGGACGGGGGCAUCUACAUCGGCUCCAUCAUGAAGGGGGGCGCCGUGGCGGCCGAUGGGCGCAUCGAACCAGGAGACAUGCUGCUGCAGGUGAACGACAUCAACUUUGAGAACAUGAGUAACGAUGAUGCGGUGCGUGUGCUGAGAGACAUCGUACACAAGCCCGGACCCAUCAUCCUGACAGUGGCCAAGUGUUGGGACCCCACUCCUCAGGGCUACUUCACCCUGCCUCGCAACGAGCCCAUCCGGCCCAUAGACCCUGGCGUGUGGGUGAGUCACUCGGUGGGGAUGGCGGGGACCUACGCCCCCUACCCUGGCAGCUCCUCGCUCAGCACCAUCACCUCCAACUCUUCCGUCACCGAAACCGAAAGGUUUGACGACUUCAACCUGUCUCUCCACUCUGACAUGGCGUCUGUGGCCAAGGCCAUGGCCUCUCCAGAGUCUGGCCUGGAGGUGAGGGACAGGAUGUGGCUGAAGAUCACCAUCCCCAACGCCUUCCUGGGCUCAGACGUGGUGGAGUGGCUCUACCAGCACAUCGAGGGUUUCCAGGAUCGCCGCGAGGCGCGUAAAUACGCCAGCAACCUGCUGAAGGCCGGCUUCAUCCGCCACACCGUCAACAAGAUCACCUUCUCAGAGCAGUGCUACUACAUCUUCGGAGACUUCAGCGACUGCGAGAACUAUAUGGCUAACUUGUCCAUGAACGACAACGACGGCUCCAGUGGAGCUUCAGACCAGGACACGCUGGCUCCCCUGCCCAUCUCAGGGGCCUCUCCCUGGCCGCUGAUGCACACCUUCCCCUACCAGUACACCAAUGCCUAUGCCAGCCAGCCCCCCCCUUACCACGAGCUGACCAGCUACAGCUACACCCCUGGGAGCACGGGCAGCCAACACAGUGAAGGGAGCCGGAGCAGUGGCUCUACCCGGAGCGAGGGCGAGCGGCGUCGGAAGGGCAAGUCCCCGGUGGGCGGGGCUGGGGGCGGGGCUGACUCUCGCUCCGGCAGCGGCAGCGAAUCCGAGUAUUCCACACGGAGCAGCAGGAGGAGGGAGCACAGCUCGGCCCCGCCCAGCGAGCACAGCCUCCACAGUCAGCGCUCACUUCCCCGGCCCCCACCGCCCCACCUCCAGUUCCCCCAGGGCCUCCCCCUCUCCUACAAUCCCAUGAUGGUCAUGAUGGUCCCCCAACACCCACACAUGCAUCAUCACGCCAUGCCCGGUCUCGGGCCCCCACACCCCCAGCUCCCCCCUGGGCCCUCCCUCCCAGGCCUGUCCCCUGCCUCCACGCCAGGGGGGCCUCCGGGGGCCCCCCCCACUCGGGAGCUGGGCUCCGUGCCCCCGGAGCUCACGGCCUCCCGCCAGUCCUUCCACCUGGCCAUGGGGAACCCCAGCGAGUUCUUUGUGGACGUCAUGUAGGAGACGGAGCGCGUGGCUGUGCAGAGCGUGUGGAGGCGGAGUCAGGAGGCGUGUGUGGAGGCGGAGUCAGGAGGAGUGUGUGGAGGCGGAGUCAGGAGGCGUGUGUGUAGGCGGAGUCAGGAGGCGUGUGUGGAGGCGGAGUUAGGAGGCGUGUGUGGAGGCGGAGUCAGUAGACGUGUGUGGAGGCGGAGUUAGGAGGCGCGUGUGGAGGCGGAGUCAGGAGGCGCGUGUGUGGAGGCGGAGUUAGGAGGCGUGUGUGGAGGGGGUGGAGAUGGACCGCAGCACGGGCCAACAGGAUCCCAGGGUAUCACGGAACUUUAAGCCACACCUGUCCUCACCUUCACCUGGUUUAAACAUCUCCUGGCAGGAGGACUUGGUCUUCCUCUGGACAAUCCCCUAUGUCUUGUGAGACAAGCUGGAAUUGAUGAUGUAACGUUACUUUUAACCCGAAUAUAUGACUAUUAGCAUUAUUGUUGGUGGUUUGAUAUUGUGUGUGUGAUUUCACCAUUAUCCCCAAAAUCAUUUGAAUGGAAGGAAUCAACACAGAUUUGAAGGUUUUGUUUAAUGUCAUAGUUUUUUAUUUGUCAAACGACGUACCACUGGACACGGUACAUCUGUAGUUUAACAGAGACGACUAUGAGGUGUGUAACCGUUGGAACUUGGUACAGUGAACAUGUGAAUGGAUGUCUAGACGUUCCUACGACAGCACCACUGUGGUCCUCAGGGAAGACGAUGAGAGUUUAAAGGACGUGAGGAGGUGAACGGCUAACGACAGCACUAACCACCUGAAGAUGUGAACGAGAUUACAUUUUUUAUCUGAAUGUAUCAAAAGUAUCUUUUUUUUCUCCAACUGCAACAAAAUAAUUAUGUCAUCACACCUGACUGCUCUGACAGGGAAAAGGGUAAAUAAUCCUUUUCUUUAGUAUUUAAAGGUACAGUAGGUAAGAUUUCUUUCAGGAAGAAAUACACGUUUUGUCCCCUCUAAACAUGAUGUGAAAGCUAAUGAGGCAGUCUGAGAGUUGUUUAACAACACAGGCCGCUCAGUGUGAGUGGAAUGUACGUUUUGCUCCUUGGCUUCAUUUGUGAAACCACAGUCAAACUCCAGCUGGAGGAAAGCAUGGAACUUCAGACAUGAAUUGGGAGCACAGUUUCUCAUUUGAAUUUAAUAUUUUUGUUACCUAUUGCAGCUUUAAAAGAACUCAAUCAUGUUCGAUUUGUUCCAAAUUCAGAGUCCCAUUGCUCCAUGGUUGCAAUGUCAGUGUGUCAUGUUUAUGAAUAUCUGAGCUGGAGAUAUGUGUUAUAUUACAGAUAUUAAUGGAGCAUAGCACAUGCACUUAGCAGGCAGAUUGCUGUUGUGUAUAUCUACAUGUUAUUGUAAUGGUACUUAACCAUUUUGUCAUCACAAAGCAUAUAUAUAUAUAUAUAUGUGUGUGUGUGUUAUUUUUUAUGAGUGACUUCACAUUCUUUCUUGUGAUAUAUACAGAUAUACUGCUCAGUAGCAGUAGGAAGGUUUGAGAGGUUUUUAAGGAAGUGUUGGGUUUGUAUCAAGCAUGCACUCAUGUUCAUGUGGCUCCUUUUCUCAGAGAGCUGAGGUUGUCAUGGUUGCACAUCACUGGGUGAACGGGAGAUGGUACAGCAGUAUUUGGAAUAGUGAUUGGAAAGUGUCUAUAAAGUUUUCUAAUAGAGAGCAGUUAUAUAUUUUAAAUUGCUUUAAGCUCUGAUUUCACACUCCAACUCACUUUUUUAUAUAACUGAGUGAUCAUACUUUUUCUUGUAUGUAUUUUUUGUAAUCAUAUUAAGUAAAACAUUAAUGUAGUGCCAUAAUGCAUGUUUGCUUGAUAGUUGUCAAUUUUUUAACAAUACAUUUUUACUAGAUUGAA